UACGUAGGGUGCAAGCGUUGUCCGGAAUUAUUGGGCGUAAAGAGCUCGUAGGCGGUCUGUCGCGUCUGCUGUGAAAACUCAGGGCUUAACCCUGAGCUUGCAGUGGGUACGGGCAGACUAGAGUGCGGUAGGGGAGAUUGGAAUUCCUGGUGUAGCGGUGGAAUGCGCAGAUAUCAGGAGGAACACCAAUGGCGAAGGCAGCUCGCUGGGACGGUACUGACACUGAGACGCGAAAGCGUGGGGAGCGAACCGG
rnacentral:rRNA from 1 species